rnacentral:rRNA from 1 species
CCGGGUAGAGUUGAGGGUCGUUGCCAGGGGGGGGCUUACCAUGCAGUCGAGCGGGGGAAGGUAGCUUGCUACCGGACCUAGCGGCGGACGGGUGAGUAAUGCUUAGGAAUCUGCCUAUUAGUGGGGGACAACAUCUCGAAAGGGAUGCUAAUACCGCAUACGUCCUACGGGAGAAAGCAGGGGAUCUUCGGACCUUGCGCUAAUAGAUGAGCCUAAGUCGGAUUAGCUAGUUGGUGGGGUAAAGGCCUACCAAGGCGACGAUCUGUAGCGGGUCUGAGAGGAUGAUCCGCCACACUGGGACUGAGACACGGCCCAGACUCCUACGGGAGGCAGCAGUGGGGAAUAUUGGACAAUGGGGGGAACCCUGAUCCAGCCAUGCCGCGUGUGUGAAGAAGGCCUUAUGGUUGUAAAGCACUUUAAGCGAGGAGGAGGCUACUUUAGUUAAUACCUAGAGAUAGUGGACGUUACUCGCAGAAUAAGCACCGGCUAACUCUGUGCCAGCAGCCGCGGUAAUACAGAGGGUGCGAGCGUUAAUCGGAUUUACUGGGCGUAAAGCGUGCGUAGGCGGCUUAUUAAGUCGGAUGUGAAAUCCCCGAGCUUAACUUGGGAAUUGCAUUCGAUACUGGUGAGCUAGAGUAUGGGAGAGGAUGGUAGAAUUCCAGGUGUAGCGGUGAAUUGGCGUAGAAUGUAG